rnacentral:rRNA from 1 species
CCCUUAGAUGUUCUGGGCUGCACACGUGCUACACUGGCAGGUUCAGCGAGCUUCAUGCCCUGAUCUGAAAGGAAUGGGAAAUCUUUUCAAAACCUGCCGUGCUUGGGAUAGAUGUUUGCAAUUAUUCAUCUUCAACGAGGAUUGCCUUGUAAGCGCACGUCAUCAGCGUCCAUUGAAUACGACCCUGUAUUCUGUACACACCGCCCGUCGCUCCUACCGAUUGAAGUUUUCGGUGAGUUGACAGGAGGAUUUUUUUGAAACUGGUUCGCCAGUGGAUUUUAGAUCCAAAUGCCAACGAAUCGAUGGCUUUAGAGGAAGGAGAAGUCGUAACA